ACGCGCUGUAUUACAUUAGACAACAUACUCUCAGUAUUUCGGUUAAGAAGCUGCAGGGCCAAUGUAAUGUUUUUCCUACAAGGUUAACAUAAGACUCAGACUUAGAUGAAUUGGAGAAGACAAAGAGCUACAACCUUUCUAAAAGGCUGAAGUCUUGCAUGUGAAUAGUUGGAGGUCCAACCUAACGCAACCCGAGUGCACCAGACCCAGCUGAAGUUGUCAUUAGUUAUGUGGAUCAUUCCUGGUGUAACCAAGGGCUUGUGGAGGGAGGACAAAAAGAGGAAGCUGUAUAAUUCCACCAAGGACACCUCCAUCACAACCAUGCCAGUGGGCGGAGUCCUCCGCACCCUCACAGGUGGCAGAGCAGCUGGGCUACUACGUCCAUGUGUCAGAGACGGUAAUCACAGAGGAGACGUUUGAUGCGACUGUACAGUUUGGCACGGCGCAGGGCGACCCCACCCAGAGCUGAGCAGGAUGACCUGUUUGCAUGCCCCCUUGGUUGCCCUCAGCACCUACUGGGAAAAGAAGAGCAUCAAGGACACCACCAGCGUGUUCUGCUGCCUCACAGAUAAUGUGUUGAAGAAGGUGGGCAACAUGCUGCACAUCCCAAAGGAAGGCCUACAGCGCAGCCCUGAGGAGGCCAGCAAGGACAAGAAGCCAGUACAGAGAAUGGAGAAUUGCCUUCUGUGAGUGAAGUGAAAUUGAAACCAGUCCUACCCAUUUACCAAUAUUGAAGGAGCCAUGUGAGCCUCUGAGCUACGACAUAUUGACAGCCUCUUCUGCAUGUUAUGGGUCAGCUCCGUCCACUACAACCUAUUACCAGUGAGAGGAUCACUGGUCUCUUCCACAAGAUGAGUAAUGAGAUCAUCCGCCCGUGCUUCCAAAGCAUCUCUCUGGACAGGAUCUUUAAGGGCUACGUGAUCUCCAGCAAGCAAAACCUCACCAACUGUAUCCAGUGCUGCCUGGCCUGCAAGGAAAUUCUCCUGCAAACCUCAAAGAUUCACCGCAAGACUGUCGAGAGAGGCGGAUAAUCACGAGCCAUGUUGAUGAUUCCUUCUUCAGCCAGGUUCCUUUUAUGCAGGCUGUCCAAGCUGCAGAGACAACAGCUUUUGGCCUCAUCACACAACACCUCACUUCUGUAAGUAGCAGCUUGCCCGUUGGGAGGUGGGUCAGCAGAGGGCCCUGCUGCACUUCGGCGGGCGCCAGGGGCCAGAGGUCACUCGCUGCCUGCUGGAGAUACAGAGCAACUUCCAACACUGCCUACAGAUUCUGCACUUUGUUGGCACGGGCAUCCCGGACGUCGAAACACCACCUGGCACAAUGAUUACAACAGGUGCUUCAGGAGGCACACUUCAUGUCUGAGACACACAGCAUAGAACAUCCUCAGGGGG